AUACGGAGGGUGCAAGCGUUAUCCGGAAUCAUUGGGUUUAAAGGGUCCGCAGGCGGAUUAAUAAGUCAGUGGUGAAAUCCUCUCGCUCAACGAGAGAACUGCCAUUGAAACUGUUAGUCUUGAAUUCGGUCGAAGUAGGCGGAAUGUGUCAUGUAGCGGUGAAAUGCAUAGAUAUGACACAGAACACCGAUAGCGAAGGCAGCUUACUAGACCUGGAUUGACGCUCAUGGACGAAAGCGUGGGGAGCAAACAGGAUUAGAUACCCUAGUAGUCC
rnacentral:rRNA from 1 species